AGAGUUUGAUCCUGGCUCAGGAUGAACGCUAGCUACAGGCUUAACACAUGCAAGUCGAGGGGAAACGACAUCGAAAGCUUGCUUUCGAUGGGCGUCGACCGGCGCACGGGUGAGUAACGCGUAUCCAACCUGCCCAUCACUUGGGGAUAACCUUGCGAAAGUAAGACUAAUACCCAAUGACGUCUCUAGAAGACAUCUGAAGGAGAUUAAAGAUUUAUCGGUGAUGGAUGGGGAUGCGUCUGAUUAGCUUGUUGGCGGGGUAACGGCCCACCAAGGCGACGAUCAGUAGGGGUUCUGAGAGGAAGGUCCCCCACAUUGGAACUGAGACACGGUCCAAACUCCUACGGGAGGCAGCAGUGAGGAAUAUUGGUCAAUGGGCGAGAGCCUGAACCAGCCAAGUAGCGUGCAGGAUGACGGCCCUAUGGGUUGUAAACUGCUUUUAUAAGGGAAUAAAGUGAGCCUCGUGAGGCUUUUUGCAUGUACCUUAUGAAUAAGGACCGGCUAAUUCCGUGCCAGCAGCCGCGGUAAUACGGAAGGUCCGGGCGUUAUCCGGAUUUAUUGGGUUUAAAGGGAGCGUAGGCCGGAGAUUAAGCGUGUUGUGAAAUGUAGACGCUCAACGUCUGCACUGCAGCGCGAACUGGUUUCCUUGAGUACGCACAAAGUGGGCGGAAUUCGUGGUGUAGCGGUGAAAUGCUUAGAUAUCACGAAGAACUCCGAUUGCGAAGGCAGCUCACUGGAGCGCAACUGACGCUGAAGCUCGAAAGUGCGGGUAUCGAACAGGAUUAGAUACCCUGGUAGUCCGCACGGUAAACGAUGGAUGCCCGCUGUUGGUCUGAAUAGGUCAGCGGCCAAGCGAAAGCAUUAAGCAUCCCACCUGGGGAGUACGCCGGCAACGGUGA
rnacentral:rRNA from 1 species